AUAUUUGGUCACCAGCUGUCUCUUUAAAGGAACUUGACUCAUGAACAGAUGUAAAGAGUGCCAGGGAUUGGCGAUAUUGGGCUUCAUAGUACAGUAAUCAAUGUAGCUACUCAUGGUAGGAUUGACAAUAUAGUCUGUCAUCCAAGCAGGAUUUCUUUUAGGUCUAUCUGACCUUCUCAAUUGUUCAUCAUCAGAUAGCUAAACCUCAGUUGGUACCAGUUGGUACAUGCUCUUCUUGUGGAAAAUUUGGAUCAACCGAGGAGUUACUAUCAAUGGAAACAUUAUCAUGAAACACGAGGAUCUCAACUGCUGCCUCAUGCUCUCCAAAGUUGUCUUCUGUUGUAGGCAUCCCUACAGUCUCAGUAGCCUAAUCUAGAGUGGUAGGAAAGUCUUUUUCCAGGUGUACAGCUGCAGGUUUGGUUAAGGGAAAAACACUCCAAAAAGGUGUAAUUGCUUACUUUUGUGUUUAAAAGAAAAAAUUGUUUCAUUAAACACUACAUCCCUGUUAACAAAGAAAGAGUAAUUAGUUAUAUCAUAUAAUAUGUAGCCUUUGCAACAUUAUGAGUAUCCCAUCAUCAUAGCAGCUAUUACUCUUGGCUCAAAUUUAUCAUGAGAAUUCAUUUUCUUUGCAUAACAUAAACAACACAUUGUUCUCAAAUGAUCUAGCUUUGGCCUCUAGAGAUGAAACACUUUAUAGGGACUCCUCUUACCUAGUACUUGAGAGGGCAUUCUAUUGAUCAAGUACACUGCUAUCAAUAUGCAAUGUCCCUAAAAUCUUAAAGGGUUCCCCUUUGAAAUCUAAUAGUUCUAGCUGUCUCCAAUAUAUGCUUUUGCUUUCAUUAUACAACCUCAUUCUGUUAGAGUGUAUACAUACAAGUUCUCUGAUGAAUUAUUCCAAAACUUUCCAACAUUUUCUUGCAUACGGAAUUUAGGAAUUCUCCUUCAUUGUCUGAUCUAAUGAUUUUGACUGCUUUGUUAAACCGAUUCUGCACCAAUUUCAGAAAAUUCCUUAGUAUUAUUAUUACAUCACUUUUCAAAUUUAACAAAAAAACAACCAUGUCAUUCUACAAUGCUCAUCAACCACAGUCAAGAACAUUUUAUUUCCAUCAAACGUUUGUACACUGUAGGGUCUCCACACAUCAAUGUGAAACAAGUCAAAAAUCCCUACAGCUCUACUUGUGCUAUUAUUGAAAGGCAACCUAAUAUGUCUAGCUAAUGGACAUAUAGUACAAUUUUCUAAUGCUGCUUUACAGUCACUUUGUUCCAAAUUUAGAACAUGUUGUAAUGGUCCAACUGGUGCAUGCCCAAGCCUCUUGUGCCACAGUACAAUAUCUGCCCAUUUAUUGUUGCUACCAGACUUGUUUUUGUAGACUUACUAUCUUAAUUGAGGAAUUGAGUGAGUAAGUAGAGGCCGUCUCUCUCUCUCUACUAAUCCCCUUCACCCUUCCAUUGUAAAGGUCCUGGAAGACAUAUAAUUCAGGAAAAAACAUAGCAACACAUUUCAAUUCUUUGGUGAUUUUUGAUACAGACAAUAAGUUGUACUUGAAAUCAGGUAUGUAAAGCACAUUAUCGACUAAAUCAUCUCCUCCAAUCUUACAAGAACCAAUGGGUGACACAUGUGCUACCCCUCCAUUGGGCAGGUGCACUUGCUUUGUGUCAGCAUUACUAACCUCUAUAUAAUCACUCAUUAUCCCUAUAUCAGAAACCAUAUGGUUCCUUGCUCCGGUGUCUACAAUCCAUUCUCUGUUGCAUUCUACAAGAAAAGCUCUAAUAAUGCCUGACAUAAUUGCAGAGUCAUCUGCGUUGUUUUCCUUGCUCAGCAACUUUAAAAUUUGGUUGUUUGUUCCCUAGUAAAAAAGGUCCUGCUAUUCCUCUCGCUAUGUUGUUUUUGUCUGCUCCUACCUGAAAGCUUCCUUCUCCACACUCCUGAGAUUUCCUUUCCUCCAGGUUUGCAUUAUGUGCCAUAUUGUUGUCAAUUUUCUUCUUGAACUUGAAUUCAGAGGGAUAUCCUAUUAUUUUAUAAAGUCCAUCCCUAGUGUGUCCUCUUAACUUGCAAAAAUCACACACGAGAUUGUAGUUUUUCUUACCUUUCUGCUGAUAUCCAGUUUGCUAGCACCCUGCCUGAUAUGUAGGUUGUUAAUUCCCUACUUGAUAUCCAGUUCUUGUGGUCAUUAAGGCAGUUACUUUUGUUAAUUCUCCAGAAACAAAAGUAUUGGUCAUACUUCGUUGACUUUCCCUUUCCAUCAACAUAGAAUAGGCUUUAUUAACUGGUAGAGCUAGUGUCAUCAUCAAAAUUUGGCUAUGAGCCUGCUCAUAUGAUUUAUUUAGUCCCAUGAGAAACUGUAGGAGCUUUAGUCUCUCCAUGAAUGUGAUAGACUCACUCGACCUUGCACAUUCAUAUCCCAUUGGGGCUAGACUAUCCAAUUCUGCCCAAAGAAUCCUCAGCCUCGAGAAAUAGGUUGAAAUUGAGCUAGUUCCUUGACUAAUUAUGGAAAUUUCCUUAUGGAUUUGAUAAAUUUUGGAACAAUCGACUUUAUCGAGUCGUUCCUUCAAAUCGCUCCAAGCCUCACUAAAAUUUGAUGAAUAAACAAUUCCACUAAGUAAUUCUGGUGAAACACAAUUUAUGAUACAUGAUAAGACGAUAACAUUGCAGAAUUCCCACAAAUCUAUGAGAUUUGGACCAUAAUUCUCCAUUUUGCAUGUGCCUUCAAUAAACCCUAGCUUGUUUUGCCCUAGGAUUGUGAUUCUCAUCGCUCGGCUCUACAUAGAGUAAUUUUCUGGUCCUCGCGAUGUAGAGAAAUCAAAAUCGUUCUGGAAUUAUCAUUUGAGUUCAGGAACAGUGGAUGGUUGUGACUUAACUUUUCGGGCUCUGUGUCAUCGACCGUCAUUGCUAACCUUCACCACCAAACUUUGAGAAGAUGAAGAUGAAAACAAGUGAGACCACACUAAUGGAUGUGUGGCUCUGAUACCAUGUCAAAGUAUGAGCUUGAAGCUCAAGCGAUCUGUGCCCUAAUAUGGGUAGAGAAGAAGAAUGAGAGAACUUUCUAGAGAGAGAAAUAAUGAGCAAAGUUUUUUUUGUUGAAAAUGAAUUGAUUUGUAUUUUCUGUUACAUUGUACACGUAUAUAUGCAUUUUUACUUUGACAACUGUCUACACCUAUAACUACCUUUUAGUCUAAUGCUUUCGUAUUAUAAUAAUCUAAUUUUUUAUCUUUACAUUUUAAUCUAAUUUUUUAUCUUUACAUUUUAGUUUGAUUGGUUGUUUACCCUCAAAUUUGGAUAAUAAUUAAACCUAUAUUGUAGUUUUAAGGAUAUAUGAUUUCGUCCAAUACCAAUUAAUAAGCAAGAAAAUAAAUGAAUAAAUUAGAGAAUAAAAUAAAUCAAACCAGUAUGCUAGCCGGAUCUCAACCUCGACUCGAGAUAGUCUCGAGGUGGAAUAGUAAGAAUAAUAAAUGAUAAAGCAACUUUGAUGAGUAGUGAGUGUAAUAGCAGGAAAGUAACGCGUGUGUAUAUUCUUCUUAUUGAACAAUGAUGAUUAAUAAUAAAUGGGAUCCGUCUUUAUAUAAUAGAGGAAUCCUAAAAAAGGUACACUUCUAAUUAUAGUAGGAACCCAUAUUAACAUCUGAUUAACAACUGUGGAUUGAUCUGUUCCAAUAUUCAUGCCACGAUCCUCAACCAAUAGUGGAUAUCUCGCCUUUUCCGUUAUCAAUCUGUAUCGAUGUCACGCGAAGCCUGUCUCUUUCUGGCCGCGAUUGACGUCAACCUUGCUCCAAAAAGAGGCUUCAAUUUCGGACUCGAUGUCCUAGCUCGUUGACGCUAAUAACUAGGGAUUCUAGUCUAGUUUAUGCUCUUUUUUUCCUUGAGUUUUAGACUAAAAUGUAUACAAGUAUUCCCAAAAAGCUAGCUUGUUGUGCUUGUUUGCAGUAUUUGGUUAAAAGGAGACAAGGAUGUCAU
rnacentral:lncRNA from 1 species